UGGGGAAUAUUGCACAAUGGGCGCAAGCCUGAUGCAGCCAUGCCGCGUGUGUGAAGAAGGCCUUCGGGUUGUAAAGCACUUUCAGCGAGGAGGAAGGGUAGUGUGUUAAUAGCACAUUGCAUUGACGUUACUCGCAGAAGAAGCACCGGCUAACUCCGUGCCAGCAGCCGCGGUAAUACGGAGGGUGCAAGCGUUAAUCGGAAUUACUGGGCGUAAAGCGCACGCAGGCGGUUUGUUAAGUCAGAUGUGAAAUCCCCGCGCUUAACGUGGGAACUGCAUUUGAAACUGGCAAGCUAGAGUCUUGUAGAGGGGGGUAGAAUUCCAGGUGUAGCGGUGAAAUGCGUAGAGAUCUGGAGGAAUACCGGUGGCGAAGGCGGCCCCCUGGACAAAGACUGACGCUCAGGUGCGAAAGCGUGGAGAGCAAACA
rnacentral:rRNA from 1 species